rnacentral:lncRNA from 1 species
GCCUCAUGGCCCACGAUGCCUACAAGAAACACCUUUCAGACAGGUAUCUGCCGGAGACCUUCUAGUGUACGUCUCCCAGGCCUGGUGACUAUCAGCCCUCUGGGAUAACAGAGACCCUGGCUGCCUGGGAGGCUUCCGCUGGCCCCCUCCAAACCACUCUCUGAGGCCUGAGAAUGGUGGUCCAGUGCCUAGCCUCCUUUUCUUGGGUUUCGGGCUCCUUGUGAGGGAUGUCUGCAUCUGGCUGCAAAUUAAAACAACUGUCUGCAUUGCAUUCGGCCCGUCUGUCAAAACACAGCCCAGCCCUCAGCAGCUGGGAAAAGGGGCCCUGAAUGGGAGCAGUGUCUCCAGCAACAAAGCCCACUUUCACGCCAAGUGCCACGGAGAUAGUGAAACCCUGUUCUUCUCCAAACAUGAAACCAAUAGCACAACUAUUUUUCCUGUUUCCUGGGCCCUCCUGGUGAUUUUUUUUUUUUUUAAUGCACUGAGUUGAAGAGCAAAGUGAAACAGGAAACUUGUAAGUUGGCAGGGGUGGAGGGGGGGUGGUCUAAAACUUGAAUUAUUCUGUCCUCUAAGAUGUAACAGCCACACACAAACCAGAGGAAAGAAAUGUCACAGUGACCGGGUGGAGACCCUCAAAGUCAGAUGUUCCCAGGAGCCUCCUCUGUCUCUUAUAUUCAUGUGCUUCUAUAUUCAUUUGUCAGUCAAUAUUCAUUGAUUGUGUCCUCCAUCCAGGCCAGUGCUAGGCACUUCAGAAUAAAAACAACGACAGCAUUAAAACACAACUAGCACCUUCAAGUUGCGAACAGGCUAGCAAUAAAAAGAAGAAAGCGAUACGUGUUCUAAGACAAGUAUUCAAAGAGGGCUGAGGGAAUUCAGAGCAACGAGAAAACACUGCCUGCAUCUGUGCUGCCCAGUACAAUAGCCACUAGCUUCAUGCGGCUAUUGAGUUUGAAAUGUAGCUAGGACAAAUUAAGAUGUACUGUAAGUCUACAAUACACACUGGAUUUGGAAGAUUUAGAGAGGAAAAGAAAAAAGGGAAAAAAUUACAUCAAUAAUUUUUAUUGACAUGUUGAAGAGAUAUUUUGCUUAUCUUGAAUUAAAUGUAUUAUUAAUUUCACCUGUUCUUCUUCCUUUUUGAAAUGUGGCUACUAGAAAAGUUAAAAUUACACAUGUAGUUCAUGCUUGUGGCUCAUAUUUUAUUUCUAUCUGACAGUGCUGCCCUAAACGGAGUAUACACAGUAUGUGUCCGGGCCUUAAAAGGUGAAGAAUAUUUAGACAGAUGAAGAGCAUUCCAGGUGGAAAGAACCAUAUAAGCAGACACUGGAAAGCAGGGUUUCUUCAAACACCUUUGAUAUACUGCAAGGGCUCUUUCUGAAGGAUGAGGAGGGAGAAGGUGGCCCAGGAGUCCACUGCGAGAUCCGAGGCAAGAGCAGAGCGGGGAUCAGGAGGCUUGAAGCAACCUGAAGGCAGCAGGAAAGAGCUGAUGUCUACUGGAUGCCUGAAGCAACACCUUAAUCUCAAUCUCCCCUGCUGGGAGCAGGUGAGGGAGGCAGCAAGGAAAUCAUGUCCCUUUGGAUCUGCUGCCUAAGGUUCUGGGGGAAGUGAUGGGCACUGAGGUCUCCUGACAGCUGGCAGGCUCCUGGCUGGCCCCACCUUGCCCUGAGCUGGGCAGUGGACCGAGCUUGUUGAAUGGAUUGAAGCAGCAGGAACAAUAAUAACAACAGCUGCAUGUAUCCAGUAUUUACCGCAUGCCAGGCACGUCACAUAGAUUACCUCAUUUAAUCCUUACACCAACCUUUCCAGGGAGGUAUUCUUAGUCCCAUUUUACCUAUUAGAAAACUGAGUGUCAGCUUAAGUAACGCAGGUAAGGUCAUAUCCUUUGUAGGGUAACAGAAACAAAAUUGGUGUCUAAGUUUGUUUAAUUCCCACACAGAUGCAGCGGGGUCCAGACAGACAGAGGCAAGGACUGCAGAGGGAAGGCCCCUUCUCCUGGAGCUGCCCCAAAAGCGGCCACCGGGGCCAUUCUUCUUCCUAGAAAGAACAUCUUUCUGCUUCCUAGUCAAGCUGCUGGACACUGCAGGUCAGGUUCACCCGCCUGACCACUGCAAAUCUCUUAGCUCAUUUUACUCCCCUCUGUUUUCUAACAGUGAUUCAGCUGGGUGAAUCAGGAGCCAGACAGCAAGAGAGGUGAUACCAGAAGGUGAAGAGGGACAUAGAUUGGGAAGGGUGAAAGAUUCCCUAAGGGAUUUUUUUUUAAACGACAGUCUUGUUCUGUCACCCAGGCAGGAGUACAGUGGUGCAAUCACAGCUCAC